rnacentral:tRNA from 1 species
GGGUGCUUAGCUCAGUUGGUAGAGCGUCGCUCUUACAAGGCGAAUGUCAGCGGUUCGACUCCGUUAGCACCCACCA